rnacentral:tRNA from 1 species
CAGAUCGUAGCUAAGAUAGAAAGCAUCUCCCUUACACUGAGAAGUCACCCGUGCAGUCCGGUCGCUCUGA